rnacentral:rRNA from 1 species
CCUACGGGUGGCAGCAGUGAGGAAUAUUGGUCAAUGGGCGAGAGCCUGAACCAGCCAAGUCGCGUGAAGGAGUACUGCCCUAUGGGUUGUAAACCUCUUUUGUCGGGGAGCAAAAGCCGGACGUGUCCGGCUUUGAGAGUACCCGAAUGAAAAGCAUCGGCUAACUCCGUUCCAGCAGCCGCGGUAAUACGGGGGGUGCGAGCGUUAUCCGGGUUUAUGGGGUUUAAAGGGUGCGAAGGGGGCUUUUUAAGUCAGCGGGAAAAUGGUGGGGGUCAACCCCAUACAGCAGUUGAAACUGGGGAUCUAGAGUGUGGGAGAGGUAUGCGGAAUGCGUGGUGUAGCGGUGAAAUGCAUAGAUAUCACGAAGAACCCCGAUUGCGAAGGCAGCAUACUGGUGCACAACUGACGCUGAGGCACGAAAGCGUGGGUAUCGAACAGGAUUAGAUACCCGAGUAGUC